rnacentral:rRNA from 1 species
UACGUAGGUGUCAAGCGUUGUCCGGAUUUAUUGGGCGUAAAGCGCCCGCAGGCGGCUUGCCAAGUUCGAUGUGAAAUCUCCCGGCUCAACUGGGAGGGUGCAUCGAAAACUGGCAGGCUUGAGGCAGGGAGAGGGAUGUGGAAUUCCAGGUGUAGUGGUGAAAUGCGUAGAUAUCAGGAGGAACGCCGGAGGCGAAAGCGAGUGACUGGCGCGUUCCUGACGCUGAGGUGCGAAAGCUAGGGGAGCAAACAGG